rnacentral:rRNA from 1 species
CCUACGGGCGGCAGCAGUGAGGAAUAUUGGUCAAUGGACGAGAGCCUGAACCAGCCAAGUAGCGUGAAGGAUGACUGCCCUACGGGUCGUAAACUUCUUUUAUAUGGGAAUAACAUGUUCCACGUGUGGGGGUCUGUAGGUACCAUAUGAAUAAGGAUCGGCUAAAUCCGUGCCAGCAGCCGCGGUAAUACGGAGGAGCCGAGCGUUAUCCGGAUUUAUUGGGCUUAAAGGGAGCGUAGGUGGGGCGUUAAGUCAGGUGUGAAAGUCUGCGGCUCAACCGUAAACUUGCAAUUGAUACUGGCAGCCUUGAGUACAGUUGAGGUAGGCGGAAUUCGUGGUGUAGCGGUGAAAUGCUUAGAUAUCACGAAGAACCCCGAUUGCGAAGGCAGCUUACUAAGCUGUGACUGACAUUGAGGCUCGAAGGUGUGGGUAUCAAACAGGAUUAGAUACCCGAGUAGUC